rnacentral:ncRNA from 1 species
GAAACGGCAAACCGGCGGAAACGCCGGGACGCAAAGCCAGGGGACUAAAGCAGAGGGAAGACCCGCUGCCAGGUCAGCCCAGCUGCCAA